rnacentral:rRNA from 1 species
GCUGGCAGCGUGCUUACACAUGCAAGUCGAACGAUGAUGCCCAGCUUGCUGGGCGGAUUAGUGGCGAACGGGUGAGUAAUACGUGAGUAACCUGCCCCUGACUCUGGGAUAAGCCUGGGAAACCGGGUCUAAUACUGGAUACGACCUCUCACCGCAUGGUGGGGGGUGGAAAGGGUUUUACUGGUUUUGGAUGGGCUCACGGCCUAUCAGCUUGUUGGUGGGGUAAUGGCUCACCAAGGCGACGACGGGUAGCCGGCCUGAGAGGGUGACCGGCCACACUGGGACUGAGACACGGCCCAGACUCCUACGGGAGGCAGCAGUGGGGAAUAUUGCACAAUGGGCGAAAGCCUGAUGCAGCGACGCCGCGUGAGGGAUGACGGCCUUCGGGUUGUAAACCUCUUUCAGUAGGGAAGAAGCGCAGUGACGGUACCUGCAGAAGAAGCGCCGGCUAACUACGUGCCA